rnacentral:rRNA from 1 species
CCCGGUGGCCACAGCGGAGGUGCCAUACCCGUUCCCAUCCCGAACACGGCAGUCAAGCCCUCCAGCGCCGAUGGUACUGCGUUCGUCGCGGGAGAGUAGGUCGCCGCCGGGC